CAUUUUCCUGGCCUGAUUAUGGACGAAAAGAAUGAAGAGGCUUAUUUUAACAGACACCUUCUUCAUUUUCAUUACUUUGACCUUGAUCUCUCAAAGCUGUUGUUAUAUAAAAUGACCAUAAAUCUUGGUUUAUGACAGCCCAAGAUGACUGAUGUCCUUUGUGCUUUUCUUAGUCUGAAUUGCUCAUCGUAUGUGCCCCAACCGUGUGAUUUAUUUGCUGCAAAACAAAAAUCUCUCAUUUACCUUGGCAGUUCGUGAGCCCAAGAACUUUGUUUCUCUAGCAAAAUACUCAUAUGAAUCAUGAAAGCGCUUGUCCAUGUGUGUAUAUUUGGUAUAGCACGAUAUGGUAAAGACUGAAUCCGUAUGUGACCCCC
rnacentral:lncRNA from 1 species